rnacentral:antisense_RNA from 1 species
ACAAACACACACAGGCCUGAGCUCCGGAUAUUUCUCCUGUUCUGGAGACAGUGAGAAGUGAAAGAGAAAUGGCUGCCCCUGCACCACUUACCGCGAAGGAGGCUCAAGGCUGGGGGUCCCCUCUGCCUUCCGGUGACCGCCCGUGUCACAUCCUGACCCGCUCAGCAGGAGAACACAGCAGGUCCCUCCGACCGCAGUCGGCCUCUCCAGCCUGCCAUGCCUCUGGCCAUGAGGCGACCCGCUGGAGUGAUGGAUUCCGGUCACUACCACCCACAGGGCGAGGGGGUGCAUUGGUCUGCUUGGGCCGCUGUAACAAAAUGCCACAGCCUGGGUGAGUGACUGACAUUGCUUCCCCACCGUUCUGGAGGCUGGAGGCCCGAGAUCGAGGUCCCUGACACUAUUUCAGUGAUGCCGGAGCCCAGGAGGAGUCGACCAAGCCCCAGCGUGGCCAUAAGCACCUUCGCAGGACCACGGAGUCGCUGCAGGUGUUCAGCCCUGUUGAGAGUGGGAGUUGGUGUCGAUGGUCACAGCUCAGUAACUCAUCGUCACCAGCGAGUACCACAGAGCAGACACAACUGCGCUUCUCUGUAGAGCCUCCAGUCGAUACUGAGAGCCACUGGGGCGUCUGACACCCAAGGGUGCAGACAUUCACUCCAAGUCCAGAGACCGCGCCCUUUCUAAGGCCCUGACUCACAGUCGCCCCAUGCUCAUUGUGCCGGAUGUUUCCACAGCCACAAAGACGGUGCGUGAAGGUGAGGUGCAGCCUAGUGCAUAUGACUGACAGAAACAUGAAGCCACAGUGGAUGCCUGGAUGAGACACAGAUCACCUUCCAAAUCUGAGUGUGGCCUUGGGACCAACCAGGUAGCCAGGGAGAAGGCAGAGACCAGAGGGAACCCAGGUGCCCUCAAUCCCAGCCUCCUCUAUCCCAGCCUCCCAAUCCCAGCCUCCCCAAUCCCAGCCUCCUAAUCCCAGCCUCCUCCAUCCCAGGACCCCCACUCCCAGCCUCCUGAUCCCAGCUUCUCUGAUCCCAGCCUCCCCUAAAACCCAGACUCUAUGAAUCCCAGCCUCUGAGGUGGGAACUGUUAGUAUCCCCACUCCAUGGACAAGAAAGCUGGGGCCUGGUGAGGCUAACAGACUAUCCUGAUGGUGUGAGGGAGGGAUCGGCCUCUGAGGGCUGCUUCCACCCAUCUCACCAGUGGCUGCAGGCUCCAGGCGCCACUUUCCUUGAGUCUAUGUUCUUUCCAAGCAUCCUGCAGCUCCAGAAGCUCUGGAGCCGCCAGCACUGAGAGAAGUGAUGGCGCUGCAUGCAGGGAAACUUUGUUGACAGCGGUGUCUGGAUGGACCAGCAGAGGGCACUCUCACAGGGAAAAUCGUGCGCCCGGCCUCGUCCACCGCCAGAAGACGCUGCUACACAAUGGAGUCUCGCUCUGUCGACCAGGCUGGAGUGCAAUGGUGCGAUCUCGGCUCACUGCAAUCUCCGCCUCCCGGUGAGAGGUGAAGCCAGCUGGACUUCCUGGGUCCAGUGGGGACUUGGAGAACUUUUCUGUCUAGCUAAAGGUUUGUAAAUGCACCAAUCAGUGCUGUGUCUAGCUAAAGUUUGUAAACGUACCAAUCAGCACUCUGUAAAAUGGACCAAUCAGCACUCUGUAAAAUGGACCAAUCAGCAGGAUGUGGGCGGGGUCAAAUAAAGGAAUAAAAAGCUGGUAGCCGAGCCGGCAGUGGCAAAC